ACUGUGAUUGUUGGAUCAUAUGUUAAGUCUAGGUUUAGCUUUAAAAGAAACUGCCAAACUGUCUUCCAAACUGACUAUAUCAUUUUGUAUUCCCUUCAGCAUU
rnacentral:pre_miRNA from 1 species